rnacentral:lncRNA from 1 species
CUUUGCCCCUGCAGGGAUGCCAGAUGGCAUGAACUUCACCGAUGUAAAGCAAAUCCAUCACACCAGCAGCAGCAGUACUCUGGACGCCACUGGAGCAGGAUGUGCAGCAGGGUCCCAACCUAUGACAUUCAUUCUGAUGGGUGUACUGAUGCUACUUCCGGGGCUGUGGUAACAGAACUCUUCUGCCUUGAUAUCUCCUACUGGGGUCUUGAUUUCUCCCUUCUCUUCAUAAACCUGGAAUAGAAGAUGUUUUUAAUGUAACAAUUAUAUUUAUGAGAAGGGCUGUCGUACUCACUUCAUGGAAGCCAAGUUGGGAUAUUAACAAUUACCUAAACAUCUAUGUUUAGAUGAUAGACUCUUUAAAAUGCAUCUUCCUUGAAUCUAACGUAAACCUUAAAUUCUGAAAUGUUAAAUCUGAAAAUGUGACAAGCACAGAACUGACAUUGAAUAAGAAGGAUUUAGUGUAGCUCUGAUUUUAUUCUUCUCGAUUCUAAACCCCUUCCUUUCUAAAUUAAAAAAUAUUUUCAUUUGAAGGUGUAUUUGCCAGACAAAACAAUACCACAAUGUGUUUCUUAAAGCUCUGGAAUUAGAAUUGCAUUAAGUCAAUCAAAACACACAAUGGCUAGUAUUAUGCAUGCAUUGUCAAGAGAUUCUUUCAUUUUUGCAAGCUAAAGAAGGAAAUUACUAAAAGUCUUUAAGUUAUAGAGUAGAUGACUAAGGAUAGUUUACAUAAUUUCACUGACAAAGCUUGAUAAGUCUUAUCCACUGUAAUUUAGCCACUGACAAAUCUUAAAGCUGAGUAUUUUCAUAGUACCUGACUUGUAUCCCAUCAAAUUCAAAAUGCAUCUUUGAUGUUGUGGCCCUGUCCCCUCCUCUCUUGUAGCCUAAUGGAUUUAGAUGUGUUGCAAAGUACACUCUUGCUCUAGGACCAUCUGAAAUAAAGCUACUAAUUAUUUGAUGGAAAAUUAGAGAAUAUUGGUCAUCUUUUUCCAGCAAAAAUGAUAUAGUCUCUCUUUUUUUUUCAAAAUAUUUUUUGCUACUUCUUUUUAAGGGCUGAUGUUGGACCAUCAGUUGGUAUCUAUGCAUUCCCAAGCGUCUGAUGAAUACAGACAGGUAAUGGGACAGAAGAUGUGGCAUGUGGUGCUUUAGCUCUUCCCCCUAAGUGCAGAUUAGCUGAGCAGCUAAUCCACCAUCCUUAAUUUCCCAGUUGUGAUAAAUUGCCUUAUCGGACAUUGAUGGGACACAUCGAAAUCAGUACCUCAGGAAGAAGAGAUAAGUCAGCUUUUAUUAAGAAGUUUCACAUCCCACUCAUAGCCAGAAAAUAUAAUUAUUAUGCAGUCACAGAAUAGAAAAGAGACAUGCUGAACUUUUAAAGUUAAAAAAAAAUCAACUUGAAAUGACAUCUGACAAAGAGAUGAAGAGGACUCCCUGGGCAGCACACACUGGUGAAAGAAAGUCAAUUUCUCCAAAUAGGAAACAACAAGUGAUGGGACCUUAUCUCUCAGGUUCUCAAUCAACCUAGUGACCUGAGGGUGAAUUUAAAUGGCAGUAUAUUGGAGCUGCCCAUUCAGGAUUCUUUUUCUGUUCAAGCAUGCCUCACACUUGGAACAUUGUUCCAUCUGCUGGAUUCUGGGUUAUUUUCCUAGGUGUCUGUUCCAUCCCGUGACAUUUAUUCCUCGACCUAUUUGGUAUAUAAAACGUGCAAUCACCUCAUCAACACUCUACAAACUAUAAACUUAAACCCAUUUUUUGAAGUCUUUACUUCAACGUCAGCUCUUUCCUUAAACCAGUCUUGGGAAAGAGUAGUACUAAGUCACUCAUUUGCCACAUUCCAGUCCCAUUCAGGGUUGGUUGGUUUGCUAUAGCAAAAUUUCUGACCCCAAAAUUAAGAAAAUAUAAUUUAAAGACAAAAAAAGAGCAUCAUUUAGCAGUCUAAGAUACAUCUAGAUAAAAUUAGUUGGUUGAAGAUAAUUUUAGAUAUGGCCAGGAAAGGAUAAAUGCAGAGAAUUAAUGAGUAUUUUAUAUCAACCAAAUGUGACAUACUCAAAUGAAUGUUGUCUACCAGCUAUGCACUCUGGAGACUAAACAUGUCAGGAAAAUGCCGCAAGAGCUCUAAGUUCUGGGAGGUUUUCAUAAUUUCUUUUAAGAGCCUGAGGCAUAAAUUUUAAUAUAUAUAUAUAUAUUUUUUUUUUUUUUGAAGAUGUCUCACUAAGGUGCCCAAGUUGACUUCAAAUGAUCCUUCCACCUCAGCUUCCAAGUAGCUGGGAUCCUCAUUAUACCCAACUUUAACAUUUACAUUCAUAAUGAAGAUAUUUAUCAUCCUUCAAUACUCUGUUCCAUGACAUUUUGUAUUUAUAUAGCUAUUUAUAAUUCACCAAGUCUUCCAAAUAAAAUGAAGAAUCCCAUUUGACUUUUCUCACCCCUCAAAGAAGAGGUAAAUUUUUAUUUGAAUAAAAACAAUGACACUUUUGAAAAAUAUGACUCUGAAUUUGCAUCCAGAGUUCUCCAUAAGACCUAAGAAAGUUUUGAACAAUGGUAAAACUGUUAGAAUAGUGUUCCAUGAUGACUUAACAGCAUCUAAGUGAAUGUAUAUAUUUAAAGUAUCACUCACAUCUUUAUAAUCAAAUUCUAUACUGGAGUAAUUUAAACAAAUUCAUUUUUCUUGAAUUCAGAGUUACUUUUACAUAUGUUUAAGUAACACUAAAACUUAGUCCCAGAGAUUGGGGAUGUAGCAUGGUGGUACAGCACACAUGUAACAUGAGUGAGGCCCUCGAUUCAAUCCACAGCACCAAAAAACACAAAACAAAAAUCUCUUAGUCCAGUGUUUUGCAUAUAUUGGGGAUAAAUCAGUGAAGAAAUCAGAGCUAACAUUAAAAUUUACUAACUUGGUCCUUCCUUUUUAUAGACACCAUGAUAAAUGCCUUGAUAGAUAAUCUCAUUUAAUCUUCCAAAUGCAUGUCCCUUCCAUUUACCAAUGAGGGAAUGGAGGUUAAGGACUAUGGAUUUUUUCUGAUAUCAUACAAGUUAUCAUAGUAGAAUCAGAUUGAUGUGCAUAAUGCCUGUAAAUAAUCUAUUUAUACUCCUGGCUCAAAGACAUGAUAGUUUGUGAACAAGAGAAAAGAACCAUAGGUUAGCAUAAAAAUCAUUUCAGUUCAUUUGUCUCCAAUUGUGAUUUAAAAACAAAUUGAUUGUAUAAUUACGACUGCAUAAUUAUUCAAAUUGUAUGUUACUGUAAAAACGUAAAGAAAGGAAAAAUGGAAACACUGAUUUAUUUUUAGUACCAGUUGUUAUUCUCCUACAUACUCAAACCCCCUUCAAACAAAUAAGCCCCCAACAUAAAUUGGCUACCAAAAAUGAGGAAGAAAAUACAACUUUUAUAACCAUGAUGGAAUCGGGAAGUUUCUUUUGGUCUUCUAUACACCAAGGGUAUAAAACAUUUCUUCACACAUCUGACAUAGGAUAGCGUAAAAACUAAGGAGGAAGGCAAGAAGGAAGGAAAAGGGUGUGGCGGGCUCCCCCAGUUUUGCCUUUUUAAUCCUUUAUUAUUCAAGAGCCUUCUAUGAUAAAAUAAUGUCUGCAGUGUUUUCUUCUCACUAAAACGUAGAAGUUAAUAAGCUAUUUUUCCAAACACUCAUAUUUUCCAAAGUGCUUAGUAAUAAUGAUCUUUUGAAAAGGACUCAAUUUAUUCUUAAUUAUUUUCAGUCACUUAAAAUAUUGUUUCUAUCACAAAAACACUUGAAGCACCAUGAGAAAUGUUUCUCCUCUAAUGAAUGAAUUCAACCUAGUCUUCUGUUAUUCUGUGAGAAAUUCACGAAGCAGGCUGUGAGGUCAGUAUUUCUUUAAAUUGCCAGCUUGGAAGUCAAAUACAAUGACAUGGGUUGAAUGAAAAUUCAAUAAUAAUGAUAAUUCUUAAUGUUGCUAGGUAUGAAUUUGUCUUAUCAAGUUUUUCUUUGAACGUACAUUGUUGUAUUAUAAGUCAAGUCUGAUUAAAAUGUAGAUGAAACCCAAUUCUCAGAUUGAAAGUCUGCUUUCUUUGACUUUACAAAGUUUACACAGUGACUAAAUCACUAUUAUAUGACUAUUUUUAUGAAUGGAGAUCUAAUCAAAUGUGGUUUUUUUAAACUCCUUUCAACUUCUACAUGCAGAAAAGGAAUAAUUCAUCACAAUCUAAUUAAUACCUUCAUAGG